UACGUAGGGUGCAAGCGUUGCCCGGAUUCAUUGGGCGUAAAGCGCGCGCAGGCGGCCUUCCAAGUCCCGCGUGAAAUCGCCCGGCUCAACCGGGCGGGGUCGCGGGAGACUGGGGGGCUCGAGCGAGGGAGGGGGCAGUGGAAUUCCCGGUGUAGUGGUGGAAUGCGUAGAUAUCGUGAGGAACACCAGAGGCGAAGGCGACUUCCUGGACAAUUGCUGACGCUCAGGCACGAAAGCGUGGGGAGCAAAAGGG
rnacentral:rRNA from 1 species